rnacentral:rRNA from 1 species
AUUGAACGCUGGCGGCAUGCCUUACACAUGCAAGUCGAACGGCAGCGGACCUUCGGGUGCCGGCGAGUGGCGAACGGGUGAGUAAUAUAUCGGAACGUACCUUUCAGUGGGGGAUAACGUAGCGAAAGUUACGCUAAUACCGCAUAUUCUGUGAGCAGGAAAGCAGGGGAUCGCAAGACCUUGCGCUGAUUGAGCGGCCGAUAUCAGAUUAGCUAGUUGGUGAGGUAAAGGCUCACCAAGGCGACGAUCUGUAGCGGGUCUGAGAGGAUGAUCCGCCACACUGGAACUGAGACACGGUCCAGACUCCUACGGGAGGCAGCAGUGGGAAUUUGGACAAUGGCGCAAGCCUGAUCAGCCAUGCCGCGUGAGUG